rnacentral:tRNA from 1 species
GCUCUCGUAGCUCAGGGGUAGAGCACUUCCUUGGUAAGGAAGAGGUCGGCGGUUCAAAUCCGCUCGUGAGCUCCA